GGUCUCGUCUCACUACACUGUGAGGAGCCUUUGCAGGCUUUGCAGGCAAAAGAGCUGGAUAUAAGCUGACAAGUGAAAUCCCACCUCGGAGCAGCCGCUCCAGGUGCCUCUAGCACUGUUCUCCAGCCCCGACUGCCCAGUGCUGGCCAAGGUCUGCAAACGGGACGUGGGGACACCAUGGGGCUGUGGGAGGCGAGUGCCAGCAGGUGCAAAGGGGCUCCAUGCCCGGUGUUCUGUAUUGCAGCCUGGGGUGGGGGCCUGAGCUGCCACCUGCACGUAUGGCUUGCCCCAGGAGAGCCAUGCACCUGGCCUCACACGUGCAUUUCCAUCACUCUCACCAAGUGAGGUAAACCUGAGUCAUACUUGUGUGUGUUCUAUGUAAAAUGUGCGUGUCAAAUGUAAAAAUGCUAAAU
rnacentral:lncRNA from 1 species